rnacentral:rRNA from 1 species
ACGGAGAGUUUGAUUCUGGCUCAGAACGAACGCUGGCGGCGUGGAUAAGACAUGCAAGUCGAACGAGACCUCUAGCUAGCUUGCUAGCGAGAGUGAAAGUGGCGGACGGGUGCGUAACACGUGAGCAACCUACCCUGGAGUGGGGGACAACUCUUCGAAAGGAGAGCUAAUACCGCAUGUAGAUCUUCGGAUCAAAGGUGGCUUCGGCUACCGCUCCUGGAUGGGCUCGCGGCCUAUCAGCUUGUUGGUGAGGUAACGGCUCACCAAGGCUAUGACGGGUAGCUGGUCUGAGAGGACGAU